AUGCACGCUGGCGGCGUGCUUAACACCUGCCAGUCGCACGAUGAAGCCCAGCUUGCUGGGUGGAUUAGUGGCGAACGGGUGAGUAACACGUGAGUAACCUGCCCUUAACUCUGGGAUAAGCCUGGGAAACUGGGUCUAAUACCGGAUAGGAGCGUCCACCGCAUGGUGGGUGUUGGAAAGAUUUAUCGGUUUUGGAUGGACUCGCGGCCUAUCAGCUUGUUGGUGAGGUAAUGGCUCACCAAGGCGACGACGGGUAGCCGGCCUGAGAGGGUGACCGGCCACACUGGGACUGAGACACGGCCCAGACUCCUACGGGAGGCAGCAGUGGGGAAUAUUGCACAAUGGGCGCAAGCCUGAUGCAGCGACGCCGCGUGAGGGAUGACGGCCUUCGGGUUGUAAACCUCUUUCAGUAGGGAAGAAGCGAAAGUAACGGUACCUGCAGAAGAAGCACCGGCUAACUACGUG
rnacentral:rRNA from 1 species